GCUGGGUCCGUGGCGGCCUCUGAGGAGGAGGAGAAGCGGGCCGCGGCGGCUACGCUGCUUUGGUAAGGGCCCAGGCUAGGAGAGAGGGCGUGCCCGAGCUUCUGGGACGGGGUCAGCGGGCCUGGCGGCUCUGGAAAUCGCGGGCCCGCGCGGCCUAGCAGCCGUGGCUUCGAAGACACGGGGCGGCCGCGGCCUCGCUCGCUUGCGAAAACAGUCGUGUGUCGCGGGAGGCGCCGCUCGCGGCAGGAACGCCCCGGAACGGUCGCGGGCCCGGGGCGGGGCCCGAGGCGGCUGUAGAAUUACCGGUCCCAGCGCGGAGCGGCCAGCUGUGGGGCGAGGGACCCGCGCGUGGCAGCGGUUCUGGCGCUCAGCUCUGUGGUGCUGCAGGAGAGAUUUCUUUCUCUUUCCCCUUGUGUUUGUGAUCUUGUCCUGAGAGACAUCACUAGAUACGGAACUCUUGUGCCCUGCAAGUAACCUUGGCCGCCCACCCAGACACCCAACCAGGAAGGUGCGAGAGUUCAGAACCUGGCCCACGGGCCCGUAGAACCGGGAGGUGGGCGAGGGUGACUGGUGGGUUCUGUACCGGUUGGGCGAAUGUAGGAGGAGAGUGAUGUUCCCACAUAUUCGUGCUUUAGAUUCCUUUUGGCGUUGUUAAUAAUGUGCUUUUCUUUUAACUUUAUAAUUGACGUUGAGCUAAUGAAUUCAAGUGUGGGGUUGCGUUUCUUAAUUAAAAACAAAAGGCCUUAUUUGUAGAGCACAUAUACUUGAGGUAGUUUGUAUAUUUUCUCCUCCCCCUCACCCCCACCCUAGGCAUUCUUAUUAAUUUCAGACUAAUUGGAUAUAAGUUAAGGAGUAGGUUUUUUUUUUUUUCUUUUUUAUCCGCUUGAUCACCCAGGUCAUUUUCUGAACUCUGGAUUGUGCCUUAGGAUUGUUAGUUUUCAACUUCCUGUUGACUAAAUAUGUCACAGUUAACAUUACUAAGCUUGUGAGAAUCAAAGGGGAAAGUGUCAACAGCUAAUGACAAUGUGGAAAGUAACUUAGCACUAAAAUACUAACUUGAGGAAACAUAGUGGUUGAAUCUACUGCCAGGCUUAGUGGAGUUUAAUCCUGAAGUUUAGGAGGAUGAGGCAGGAGGAUGUCAGGUUUGAAGCGCCCUAAGCUGCAUUGAGACCCUAAAAACUUUGAGUCUGAAUUUUAUUUAGCUCCUUAACUAGUAGUACACUUAUAUAAAUGCUUAUCUGCUUAUAAAAUCUAUAGGAUUAUCUAUAGUGUAUGUGGUCUAUAAGGCAGGUUAGGUAGGACUCAGUUCUCAACCAGCAGAACACCCUUGCUGCUCAUUGAAUCCAGGGCGCAAGUUAUCUACCACUAGGACCAGCCUUCUUUACAGAAUUUUCUUAUCAGGCUUGAGUUUAUUCUUACCUGCAGGUUUUUGUGGCUCUUCACAAGAAUUUCUGGUGUGAGAAUUAUUAUUGUCGUCUCCACCUUCCACCCCCCUCACCCCCCACAACAUAGGGUCUUUCAUAGCCAGGCUGGAUUUGAAUUAAACUUGCCUUAAAAAAAACUCCUAAUCUUUCCACUUGAACUUUCUAGGCACUACAAUUGGCAGCUGUUAUUCCUAGCUAGGGGAAGGUUAUUAAAUAUAUAUACUCUAGGCUAAAAUCCUUUGCUACUAUACUAUAUACUCCGCUCAAAAUGUACUCUUGAAACAGAAAUUUGCCACCAUGCAUAGAUGUAUAAAAUGAUGUUAAUGACUUGGUUCAGAAUCAGAGUUAAGUAGAUAAUAAAACUAUUGAAAAGGGUUUUUUUGUUGUUGUUUUUUGUUUUUGUUUGUUUGUUUGUUUUUUUCGAGACAGGGUUUCUUUGUGCAGCCCUGGCUGUCCUGGAAGUCACUCUGUAGGCUGGCCUCGAACUCAGAGAUCCACUUGCCUCUGCCUCUCAAGUGCUGGGAUUAAAGGUGUGCGUCACCACACCCGGCUUGAAAAGUUUUAAUUUAUUUAUUUGAGAUAGGGUUUUACUAUUCAUCCCUGGCUGGCCUGGAACUGGCUAUGAGGACUGGGCUGGUCACAACUUAGAGAGAUCUGUCUGCCUAUGCCUCUAGAGUAUUGACAUUAAAAGCACAUGCCUAC
rnacentral:lncRNA from 1 species